rnacentral:rRNA from 1 species
GUGGGGAAUCUUGCGCAAUGGGCGAAAGCCUGACGCAGCCAUGCCGCGUGAAUGAUGAAGGUCUUAGGAUUGUAAAAUUCUUUCACCGGGGACGAUAAUGACGGUACCCGGAGAAGAAGCCCCGGCUAACUUCGUGCCAGCAGCCGCGGUAAUACGAAGGGGGCUAGCGUUGCUCGGAAUUACUGGGCGUAAAGGGCGCGUAGGCGGACAGUUUAGUCAGAGGUGAAAGCCCAGGGCUCAACCUUGGAAUUGCCUUUGAUACUGGCUGUCUUGAGUUUGGGAGAGGUGAGUGGAACUCCGAGUGUAGAGGUGAAAUUCGUAGAUAUUCGGAAGAACACCAGUGGCGAAGGCGACUCACUGGCCCAAUACUGACGCUGAGGCGCGAAAGCGUGGGGAGCAAACAGGAUUAGAUACCCUAGUAGUCC